rnacentral:tRNA from 1 species
GGACGUGUGACUGAGCCCGGUUUAUAGUGUUUACCUUGAAAGUAAAAGUAAGUAGAUUACCAAGAGUUCGAAUCUCUUCGCGUCCG